GCCGCGGUAAUACGUAGGGUGCGAGCGUUAAUCGGAAUUACUGGGCGUAAAGCGUGCGCAGGCGGUGAUCCAAGUCAGAUGUGAAAUCCCCGGGCUUAACCUGGGAACUGCAUUUGAAACUAGGUCGCUAGAGUAUGGCAGAGGGGGGUAGAAUUCCACGUGUAGCAGUGAAAUGCGUAGAGAUGUGGAGGAAUACCGAUGGCGAAGGCAGCCCCCUGGGUCAAUAGCUGACGCUCAUGCACGAAAGCGUGGGGAGCAAACAGGAUUAGAUACCCUGGUAGUCCACGCCCUAAACGAUGUCAASBVGUUGUCGGAGGGGGAGACCUCCUUUGGUAAC
rnacentral:rRNA from 1 species